rnacentral:tRNA from 1 species
UCCCUGGUGGUCCAGUGGUUAGGAUACCGCACUUUCACUGUCGCGGUUCCUGGGUUCAGUCCCUGGUCAGGGAA